rfam:Larimichthys crocea isolate SSNF unplaced genomic scaffold scaffold479, whole genome shotgun sequence.
CAGUACACUCAUCCAUAAAGUAGGAAACACUACACUGUGGCGAGGAGUUUAGUAGUGCUUUCUACUUUAUGGAUGACUGCACUGU